CCAGUUGGCGCUCCGAUGAUGGUGCUCCCAAUUGGAUUGUCUGAUGUCUUCUGCUGCCCUGCCUCACUCGGAGAUUUCUUUAAAUAUGCUCUGGCUGGACAGUACGUGACAUUUGGCCGGCACCAAUCCCGGUUCGAGAGCUGGCGGCCCCCCAAGCUUGUUCCGCUCAAAAACUUCGUCAUGUUCUUGUUAUGGUUCUUCUGGUUGUUGUUGCUGCCGGGGUUUUGGCCCACGCGAUGCGAACGAAACAUGGCCAAAUGCUGAUAGAUCGCACGCAUCGCACAUCGCGCAUCGCACCCAUAUCACGGCUUCAUACGUAGAAACCAAAAACAAACAGCACCAACAAUCGACACUUUUGAAUCUCUCAGAGCUGCAUAUCGAGGUCCGAACGUCUGCGGAGAGAUUGCGAAUGCCCGGCCAGCCAGCGCUGCUUCCGCAUUGGCCACCCAUGAAAUCUGAGUGCGGGACUAGCGAAUGGCGGAAAGAAAGAUUCCCAUCCCUGGAUUGAAUUAAGGAUUGAGGCUUUGAGGCCAACAAUCGCUUGGAACUAAAUGUGUAUAAAUUCUUCCUCAAGAGAUGGAAAAUACAAUUGCAGAGCGUCUCAGGGGAACAACUUAUCUGAGAGGAUUUCUUGGAGAUUUCUAUGGAAAGAUAAUGCCACGUGUUUUGGGAUCUGUAGCCCACAGUCCACGGACUAUAGGAUAGAGGAAAGCCAUAGCUGCUGUGGCUUUCGGCUGCAAAUCGUUAGAACUUACUGCUAAUAAUAGACGAAGUUAACAACAUUAAAGGGCAACAGGGAACAGCAGACAAAACAACACCAAAACGGUUUUACAAUUCUGAACCAUUGAAGAUACUGGUAAAUGUUACAAUAUCCGGUUAUAGGUUAAGGCAAAAGGUAAUACCUUUAAUAAUUGUGUCAUAGAACUCUAAAAAACUUUGUAAAGAUAUGAAAGAACGUACUCUAAAGCAAAUCGAAUUCGUAUGCUUACAAUUUACUGUGUCUGACCAUCAAAUGCUUAUUGUAUUUCAACCUCUUAAAAGUAGUAAUAAUUGUAAUCGAAUAAUAGUAAUUCAAUCCAUUCCUUCGUUAAA